GAAAAAUUGCAUAUUAAACAUCAUCACUGAUGCAUUGACAGCAUAGAAUUCUACUUUAAGGCUUUAGAGGGGGUAGGGGAUGGAAUCAACACGAAGGUCUAUAGUUCGAAUCAUUUCACUCCAACAGAGGCCAUCAAGUCUUCAUAUUCAGGAUCAUUCUCUUGCUUUUCUGCCAUUGCUGGAUUACCACCAGGAUGAGGAUGUCGAGGGACUGAUGUGGGUGAGAAGGGGUCAUAUAUUUGAUGUGCUCCAGAGGAGCUAGAGGCAGGCCUACCAUGACGGAGGAAAACAUUGUUGGGAGCCUCAAAGUUCUGUGGUCGAAGCAUGGAACUUGGAUUAUUUUGCUCAAGAGGCAUGGAGUUCACUCUAGGAGGGAAAGAACCUACAUGAUUUGGAGCUGGCCUAAAGUUCAUAGGUUGCAUUUGAGGGACAGUAGGUGAAGCUAUACCAUGAUUUGAAAAUGUCGGAUGCCUAAAUUGAGGGAGAGGGCCAGCAGGUC
rnacentral:misc_RNA from 1 species